AAUCUGGCCAUGGAAAUCCCCCACGCCACGCACCACCACCAACUCUCGCCCGCGUCGCCGCUCCGCCACCAAUGGCCGCCGCCGCCGCCGCGGCCACGAGGAAGGACGGCGCCGACGCCCGCCCGCCCCCGCAUCGCCUGAGGUCGCCCUCCAGGGUGGCGGCGGACUUCGCCAUGGGCGGCGCCGCGGCGGUGAUGGCCAAGACGGGGGCGGCGCCGGUGGAGCGCGUCAAGCUGCUGCUGCAGAACCAGGCCGAGAUGCUGCGCCGGGGCGCCCUCACGCGGCCCUACCGCGGGAUCGCCGACGCCUUCGCCCGCGUCCUCCGCGAGGAGGGCGCCGCCGCGCUCUGGCGCGGCAACCAGGCCAACGUCAUCCGAUACUUCCCCACCCAGGCCUGCAACUUUGCAUUCAAAGGCUACUUCAAGAGCUUCUUUGGCUAUGACAAGGAGAAAGACGGGAAAUGGAAAUGGCUAGCUGGAAAUGUAGCAUGUGGCAGUGCUGCAGGAGCCACAACAUCAUCCCUGCUAUACCAUCUGGAUUAUGCACGGACGCGGCUAGCCACUGACGCGAUUGAAUCCCGAGCUAACAAACGUCAGUUCAGGGGGUUGCUAGAUGUCUACAAGAAGACACUUGCAACUGAUGGUAUUCGUGGAUUAUACCGAGGCUUCAGUGUGUCUAUUGUGGGUAUCACUCUAUAUCGGGGUCUUUAUUUUGGCAUCUACGACACCAUGAAACCUAUUGUACUAGUAGGGCCAUUGGAGGGAAAUUUCCUGGCCAGUUUUGCCUUGGGAUGGACAAUAACUACAUUCUCCGGGGCCUGCGCCUACCCAUUUGAUACACUCCGACGAAGAAUGAUGUUAACUUCAGGGCAGCCAUUCAAAUACAGGAGCGCCUUCCAUGCCGUAAAACAGAUAGUUUCCACUGAAGGGUUCUUCACUCUAUUCAGAGGGGUCGGUGCAAAUAUCCUCUCGGGAAUGGCAGGAGCUGGAGUUCUUGCUGGGUAUGACCAGCUCCAACGGUUUGCAGGCCAGCAUGAUUACAAAAUUGAGAACAAGAUGAAAGGGGCAUUGAAAUGAUGUGCAUGUGAUGGAUCUGCAUGUGCCUGGGCAGAUUCUUGGGUUUUCAGGUUGCGCGCUGGCCAGAUGGGAUGUGUUGUGAGCUACAAUUACCGAGCUCACAGAUCAGAACUUGAAAUGCGUGCAAGAGUUAAUGGGAAUGAAUUGAUCAACACAACAACAUUUCCUGGAGGGUACAUUGUGGUAUUUUUUGAUUGAUCAGGCGUCAAGACUCUCCUCUUCCGGCCUUGUUGAUCGUUUAGAAGGCCCAACUAAUGAUGAUUUGUAGGCUUCCGCUGAGACUGGAAUAAAUCUGAGAAGUGCUCUAGCUGCUGUGACCUGAUGGUUGUCAGUGGCCAAGUGGAGCUAGCAGGAUGCCACUAUGAGGCAAAGUGGCAAACAGAAUAGACUGGGUGAGUUGGGAUGAGUUGCUGAAUCAAAGAACAUGGGUGGGUGACCUGUGCGUCAAAGACCUUGAUAGAUUCAGCGUCAUGAUGGUAGAAUCGGUUUGUCGCCCUUGAGUUCUCAUGGACAGUUACUGCUGGAAUUCUAGUGUUCAGCAAGCUGAAGCAAAGUAAGGAAUUUCAUUGCCUGAAGAAGCAUCCUGCAUGAAUCUGGUAGAUGCGCGACCACCAAAAGGCUCCCAACGCAAUGGUGGAUCAGAUGGGGCUAACAGUGGUGCCAUCGGCAUAUGAUACGUGCAGGGGAAAAUGAGCAGGGAUUUUGAUAAACAAAGAGAAGUGAAUUUGGGUGGAGGGGUGAGACCUGGAACACUGGAGGCCAGAGGGGGUCGAAGCAGAUGGUGCAGUCGAGAACAUCCGGGUCGAUGAUGCCGGUGAUGCCCGCCGCUGCCAUCCCGCUCAUCUGCUCCGGCAGCUGCUGUCGCCGCCGAUGGUGAUCCCCUUUCCUCCUCUUCUUGCCGCUGCUGCUGCUGCAGCUCUCCUCCAUUGACGGCACCACUGUUAGGCCCGUGGAUUGAUCCAUACUCGUUCAAAAGUCACGCACUGCAGUGAGUGCAGGGUCUACUAGCCGUUGUUUUUAUUGACGUGAUGUGACGACGCAGCGUGGUGCUAGGCUACGAGCUACCUAGCUAACUAGCCGUUUUUCGUUUUUCAAAUCCGUCUUCGACCCUGGAAUUAUGGUGGAUACUACUUUUUUCUUGCCAUUUCGGUUUUGGGUUUCUGAAACUUUCUUUCUCUCUCUGUGGAAGAGCAUAUGUGUAUGCAGGUAUCGGUUAAAAUGGGCCAUCUCAAGAAAUAUAUUUA